rnacentral:rRNA from 1 species
AGUUUGAUUAUGGCUCAGAUUGAACGCUGGCGGGAUGCUUUACACAUGCAAGUCGAACGGCAGCACGGACUUCGGUCUGGUGUGGCGAGUGGCGAACGGGUGAGAUAAUGUAACGGAACGUGCCUAGUAGCGGGGAUAACUACGCGAAAGCGUAGCCAAUACCGCAUACCGCCCUUCGGGGGAAAGCGGGGACCUUCUGGGCCUCGCACUAUUAGAGCGGCCGAUAUCGGAUUAGCUAGUUGGUGGGGUAACGGCUCACCAAGGCGACGGAUCCGUAGUUGGUUUGAGAGGACGACCAGCCACAAUUGGGACUGAGACACGGCCCAGACUCUACUGGAGGCAGGGGAAAUUUCUGGACACUGGGGAAAUCCUGAUCCAGCCAUCCUGCGAUGAAGGCCUUCGGGUUGUAAAGCACUUUUGGCAGGAAAGAAACGGCACGGGAUAAUACCUCGUGCAACCACUGACGGUACCGGAGAAUAAGCACCGGCUAACUACGUGCCAGCAGCCGCGGUAAUACGUAGGGUGUAAGCGUUAAUCGAAUACUGGGCGAAGGCAGGCGGUUCGAAAGAAAGAUGAAAUCCAGAGCUUAACUUUGGAACUGCAUUUUUAACUACCGAGCUAGAGUGUGUCAGAGGGAGGUGGAAUUCCGCGUAGCAGUGAAAUGCGUAGAUAUGGAGGAACACUGAUGGCGCAAGGCAGCUUCCGGAUAACACUGACGCUCACGUGCGGCACGAAAGCGUGGGGAGCAAACAGGAUUAGAUACCCUGGUAGUCCACGCCCUAACCAUGUCAACUAGCUGUUGGGGCCUUCGGGCUUUGCAGCGCAGCUAACGCGUGAAGUUGACCGCCUGUGGGAGGCUGGUCGCAAGAUUAAACUCAAAGGAAUUGAUUUGGGACCCGUACAAGCGGUGGAUGAUGUGGAUUAAUUCCUGAUGCAACGCGAAAAACCUUACCUACCCUUUGACAUGUCUGGAAUCCCGAAGAGAUUUGGGAGUGCUCGUAAAGAGAACUGGAACAGUUGUAUGCUGCAUGGCUGUCGUCAGCUCGUGUCGCAGGAUGUUGCCAAGUCCCAACGAGCGCAACUCAAGCCAUUAGUUGCUACGAAAGGGCACUCUAAUGAGACUGCCGGUGACAAACCGAGGAAGGUGGGGAUGACGUCAAGUCCCCGAAGUGGCCCUUGCGGCAGGGCUUCACACGUCAUACAAUGGUCGGGACAGAGGGUCGCCAACCCGCGAGGGGGAGCCAACUCUGCAAACCCGAUCGUAGUCCGGAUCGUAGUCUGCAACUCGACUAUGAAAGUCGAACUAGUAAUCGCGGAUCAGCAUGUCGCGGUGAAUACGUUCCCCGGGUCUUGUACACACCGCCCGUCACACCAUGGGAGUGGGUUUUACCAGAAGUAGUUAGCCUUAACCGUAAGGAGGCGAUUACCACGGUAGGAUUCAUGACUGGGGUGAAGUCGUAAAAGUAA